UACGUAGGGGACAAGCGUUGUCCGGAAUUAUUGGGCGUAAAGAGCGUGUAGGCGGCCAGACAGGUCCGUUGUGAAAACUCGAGGCUCAACCUCGAGACGUCGAUGGAAACCGUCUGGCUAGAGUCCGGAAGAGGAGUGUGGAAUUCCUGGUGUAGCGGUGAAAUGCGCAGAUAUCAGGAAGAACACCUAUGGCGAAGGCAGCACUCUGGGACGGUACUGACGCUGAGACGCGAAAGCGUGGGGAGCGAACAGG
rnacentral:rRNA from 1 species